rnacentral:sRNA from 1 species
CAUGGGUCCUGGGGAUCUGAACCCAGGUCCUCAUGCUUGCAUAGCAGACACUCUUCCCAUUGAACCACUUCCUGAGCCCUCGGCCUCCUCUUUUUUUUUUUUUUUUUUUUUUUUUUUUUUUUUGUUUUUUUUUUUGUUUGUUUUUUUUUUUUGUUUGUGUAAACCCAGCAUCUCACACACACUAGGAAAGCACUCUCCCACUGAGCCACAUUCAU